UCCGUCUCUCAGAGCAGACGAAGGAUUGUUUUCCGUUUCACCGUUUGAAUUAGUUUGAUAUUUUAAGGAAAAUCUUAACAUUUUCUGAGUGUUAUGAUAGCGUGUUUAGAGAACCAGUGUGGAGAGUGUAUAAUUCUUCGAAUGUCUUUGCAUACAUAUGUAGGCCUACGGGAGAUUGUGGAUUCCACUGGGUGCCAUAGACGGUGAGAAAUAGAUGGGUACAACCAGAGCAAUCAGCCUGCUCACAGAAUGUAGUGGCCAAAGGCGGCAGGAGGGAAAACUCAAGUGGAGAACCCAGUUUGGUAUUCGUCUGGUGGAAAGAAAUUUUGAAGUACAGGAGCCUAGAUAAAAGAGGAUGAAGAACUGGAGCAAACUUUUGUCAAGGACUGCGAUUAGAUGAAGACUACAGGACAUAGUGGUCAUCGGUUGAAAGUUUUGAAUGUAAUCGGUCGCUGGUUUGAGUAGAAUGAACACAUGGCCAAAAAUCAGUGAUGAUGCAUAUUAAGGAAUCGACAAACUUCAAGAAAAUCCUUCACUCCAAGUUGCAAGCUCAAUUGGAGGUCUGUGGCUUCAAGAUCAGGAAUCAGAAGCAUAUGUAUCAGGAUUCAAAGUUCAGGAUUUAUUCUUAAUUUUGAAAGUUCCUGUGUAGAAGUGUUUACAUAGAGGCUCUAAGUAUUUGGAUAUUGUCUAAUACAAGUUACCAGUUCUUUUGAGUAACGCUACAGAACCCAUCUUGCUGCUCAUUAAUUAUGUUUCUCUUCCUAAAAUAUCUAGUGAUUUGCUGCCAUUGAUUUUCUUCGCAUAAGAUACUAGUGCUUCGAAUCUUAGACGUACUCACGUCUUUCAUUUUAGAUUUUCAAGAAAGAAUUGUCUUAAAAUUACUAAAUCUCUAUAAUUUUCAACUCUAUAUAACUUAAGUCAUCCAUUCUAACAACUUUGGUCACAGUGUUAGAUUUUUUUCUAAAUCAUGGAACAUACUAAGUCAUUCUACAUUUACUUGGAGCUUUGUCAUUAUAAAUCUCACUCUUAUCAGUGUAUUAGCGUCUGGGGAAGCUUUUCCGCAAAGAAUUUCUCACAUGACGUAUCGUGAACGUGGAAUAAGGUUAUUCAGUAAUUUACAGUUACAGCCAGAUUAGUUUUGAUUAUCUGUGAUAGUUUUACUUGUAAGUCUGCCAAUUCUUAAUCUCUGUGAUGAUAUCGUGUCAGCUCCAUGAAUUGGUAUUUCAGUAAAUUUAGGGCAUCAUCGUCUAUAAAUUAUUAGAAUUCCGAAGUGCCCAGAGAACAUUUAAAUCAUAA